ensembl:snoRNA
AAAAAUUUUUUAGGGAUCUCUAACUUCAUGCCAAAACCAGUUUGGAGAGACUUUGACAGAACAGGUCAGCAUAAUAUCUGCAACUUCCAUUCAUCUUUCCUAUAAUA